UACGUAGGGGGCAAGCGUUGUCCGGAAUUAUUGGGCGUAAAGAGCGUGUAGGCGGCCAGAUAAGUCCGCUGUGAAAUCUCGAGGCUCAACUUCGAGCUGUCGGUGGAAACUAUCUGGCUAGAGUCCGGAAGAGGAGAAUGGAAUUCCUGGUGUAGCGGUGAAAUGCGCAGAUAUCAGGAAGAACACCCGUGGCGAAGGCGGUUCUCUGGGACGGUACUGACGCUGAGACGCGGAAAGCGUGGGGAGGCGAACAGG
rnacentral:rRNA from 1 species